AUACGAAGGGUGCGAGCGUUAAUCGGAAUUACUGGGCGUAAAGCGCGCGUAGGCGGUUGGAUAAGUCGGAUGUGAAAGCCCCGGGCUCAACCUGGGAAUUGCAUUCGAAACUGUCCGGCUAGAGUAUGGUAGAGGGAAGCGGAAUUCCACAUGUAGCGGUGAAAUGCGUAGAGAUCUGAAGGAACAUCAGUGGCGAAGGCGGCUACCUGGACCAAUAUUGACGCUGAGGUGCGAAAGCGUGGGGAGCAAACAGGAUUAGAAACCCUAGUAGUCC
rnacentral:rRNA from 1 species